rnacentral:rRNA from 1 species
UACGAAGGGGGCUAGCGUUGCUCGGAAUCACUGGGCGUAAAGCGUGCGUAGACGGUUAUGUAAGUCGGGUGUGAAAGCCCCGGGCUCAACCUGGGAAUGCCAUUCGAGACUGCAUAGCUAGGGUGCGGAAGAGGGAAGCGGAAUUUCCGGUGUAGCGGUGAAAUGCGUAGAUAUCGGAAGGAACACCAGUGGCGGGAGCGGCUUCCUGGUCCAGCACCGACGUUCAGGCACGAAAGCGUGGGGAGCAAACAGG